rnacentral:rRNA from 1 species
UGGUAGUCCACGCUGUAAACGAUGAGUACUAGCUGUUGGAGUCGGUGUAAAGGCUCUAGUGGCGCAGCUAACGCGAUAAGUACUCCGCCUGGGGACUACGGCCGCAAGGCUAAAACUCAAAGGAAUUGACGGGGACCCGCACAAGCGGUGGAGCAUGUGGUUUAAUUCGAUGCAACGCGAAGAACCUUACCUGGUCUUGACAUCCUGCGAACUUUCUAGAAAUAGAUUGGUGCCUUCGGGAACGCAGUGACAGGUGCUGCACGGCUGUCGUCAGCUCGUGUUGUGAAAUGUUGGGUUAAGUCCCGC